CUUGUAUCGGGCGGCACUGGCGAGAGCUGUCAGUGUGUGAACGAGAGCACUGGCAAAGGGAGACUGAAGCCGAAGUCCAAGCGCGCCUAUUACAGAUCCCAGAUACCACAUCUCAGAUGCUAAAUGCAAGACUUUUGAUUCCAUUCCAUCCCAAUUUCGAGGCGCUUUUGUUGUCCGAAUUUAAUUGAUGCUGCUAUUCAAAUGUCAAACAAAUUUCGCAAUGCCACUCAGCGAAGACAACAACGUUGAUGCCUCGAAUCGUUGUGCGUCUGCACGGCCGAUAGCCAAUAUCUAAAUGGCUAUAAGAAAGGCAUACCAGACAAGUUUUGUGCGAAACGUAAUUGAAUUUUUAUUGACAUUGCAGCCCACUUGCCGAGUUGGGAGCGGCCCAAAUGGGGCGUGUGCAAAAGAAACGGCAGCAAAAUGACGCACGCGACAGCAGAGCACGAAAACAAGAAAGUUAAAGAUGAAAUUGGACCAAGGCUCACAAAAUAUUUGAGAGGCUGUAUAAAUUCUAUUAUAAAUUAGUUGCUAAUAAAUUCAAGAUUUCAUUUU